AAUAAAUAAUGGAGAAUUGUUAUUCUAGAUUUCUAUAUAUACACGCCUUGUAGUGGCCAUUACAUUCAUGGGAGGUGAUAAUCUCUUUGUCAAGAUUUCAAUCUUUUCCUUGGUGUUGGUACUUAGAAAGCUGAAGAAGAGGCCAUGGAUACCUUGUUCAGGAGGGCCAGGCAGAGAUGUUGAAAAAGUAACUGUUUCAUUAUUUGUUGGAGUCUUUACAUUACUAUCAUAUGAAAGAGGAUUUUUAAUUGCAUUGCCUGUGAAAACCUCGAGGUUUUGUUGUGGGAGGAUUGCCCUUUGCUUUGUUGUGGGAGGAUUACCCUUUUAUUGGAUAGUUUAAAUCUCACACACUAAGCUUUGACUUUUAGGUUUAAAAGUGUUAAAUACUCAAAAUUGACGGUCAUUUUCUAGAUUUAAUAUAUUGCUUAGUGACUGACAUCUUUGUUUACCCUCUAUUUAUUCUUCAAUUCAAAUCUGUUCAAGAUAUCAUUAAAUCUGAUUUAAUUUUUUCUAUUAAUUGUUUAGAUAAUUCGACUUAAAACAUACUAUAGAUAGAUUCUAUUAAAAAAUAUGUGAUUUCAAAUGAACGAACAAUCCUCUCACAACCGAACUUCAAAGUUUUCACAGACUAGGAUUAAACAUCCUCUUUCAAAUGAAUAUACGUGGAGACUCCAAGAAAUAAUUUAUGCAAUGAAGAUAGAUAUGAAUCCAGUAUAGAGAGUGAAUUGGGCAUCGCUGGACAUGAUGCAGUUGGACUUUCUGGAGUGCUCUGUUCAUUUCCAAUGAAAUGGCAGUAAUUGAAUAUGAUUCGGGGAUAGAGUGAUGAUCAGAUUCUAUACUGUGGAACAUACAUAUGGGUAUGCUAUUUUUUAUCUUCCACCCAUCUAAAUGGAUUUACACUGUGUCCUUUUAUUUUAAUUAGAUGACUGAAGGUUUUCUUUCUAAACUGAAAAUGCAGAUUCAGAUAAUCAGUAGAAACCAUAUAAGUAGUUAAUUCUACAUUUUGUUUGGGCUCGCCCGAAAUAAAAUUAAAUUCAGACUUAUAUUUU